rnacentral:tRNA from 1 species
GGGGGCAUAGCUCAGCUGGGAGAGCGAUGCGUUCGCAACGCAUAGGUCAAGGGUUCGAGUCCCUCUGUCUCCACCA